GGCAACCGCCUACUCCCGGUUCCAUCUUCCUCCUUCGCUUUCUGCAACUUCUCACGCGCUCUCACUCGCCAUCUUUCCUUCUUUCUCUCUGUCCCAAACCCAAUGCCCUCUCUUCUUCUUCUCUCCCUCUUCACACCCAUCAUCACAACAAAAAACCUCAAAACCUCGCCCCUCUCAGUUCCCCAUACUCAUUCUUCCACAACAUUCCUACUCGAGUUUCGAGAGAAUCUCUCCUAUUUCCCUGCCUAUUUUGACGUCCAAUAUGGCUUCAUCCAAGCUCUUCCCUUCUUCAAAUUCGCGAAAUUCAAAUCUAUCUCGGUGUUCUUCUUCUUCUUCCUCUUCUGCCUCCCUUUUAAAACCCCAAUUUCUCUCCAAUCAUUCGAGGAAUUAUGACUCCCCAUCUCGUAAUCCACCACCCCAUACAAUGACCGUCGAUGGCUUACUUCCUAAUGGCUACAAUUCUAAUCCCACGGAGUCGUCUAUUCUCUUAGAUGCACAGAUUACUCUUGUUGAUUCUUCUAACCCCUAUUCUCUUCCCAUCAAUACAACCACCCCCACCAUCACUAAUUCCUCUGUCGUCAUCGAUAGUAAUCAUAAUUCUUCCUCUGCUGCAUCACCCACUAAAACUGUGGAUGAUGUGUAGAGGGAGAUUGUUUCUGGUGAGAGGAAGGAAUUGAAGGAGGAGGUUGCUAAUAAGAUCAUAACCCUUGAGGAUUUUCUUAUGAAAUAUGGAGUUGUGCCUGUCGAGGAUAUUAAAUUUCCUCAGACUGAGAGGCUCAGUGGUGGGAAUUUUUUGUUUGAUCCAAUUCCUUCCACCACAUUCCAGGCAUUAGAUAAGGUUGGAGGAUCCAUUAUUGGAUUUGCUAAUGGGGUUGAUUUGAUUGGUAGUAGUGGAAGUGGGGGGAGAGGUAAAAGAGGUCGAGCUACUUUGGAACCUUUAGAUAAAGCUGCAGAGCAAAGACAAAGGAGGAUGAUCAAGAACAGGGAGUCUGCAGCAAGGUCUAGGGAACGUGUGUGGUAUGCAAAGGAGAUCAUUUUUUAAUAGGAAACCAUCAAAUAUGUGGAAAUCUCCAGCAUAUGCCGAGAGGACUAAAGAGAGGCUCAAGCAGCUAAUGGACAAGGUGAUUCUUGUGGUUGAAAAGCGACGACCCCAGCGAGUGAUUCGACGAGUUAAUUCCAUGCAAUGGUGAACUAUGCAUCUUCCACAACACAGGUACAACCGAUAAUGAAAGCAGUAGGGGCAAGAAGAAACAGAAAGAGAGAGAUAGGCAAUAGUAUUUAACAGUUACUUAAAAACAUAUUCUUCGGUGCUGAAAGGAAAAGUGCAGGGAAUAUAAUGAACAAUCCUUUUAUCAAAGAACUGAUUGGGCAGAGACGACAACAACAGCAACAAGAUACAUGAAAAAACAGAUGAUUUAUAGGUGUUAUUACAACAAAGUGGAUCAGAGCAAAUAAAGAAGGUAGAAACUUGAGAUGCUCUGUCUCACAUUUUUUUGCUUUUUUUCUAAAUGCAUGAGAGAGUAAAUAGAGGAAGAAGUUGAGUUCGAGUGGUAGCAUUUUAUAUGGUUUUGUUGGAUAGUUGAAAUCUAACAACAUAUGACAAAACUAUUCCUUGUUUUGUUAUAAUACAUACAAUUGCUAGAAUAGUGUAGUGGGUGGUGGUAAUAGAGGUAUAUAUAAUUUAUGAUUGGUUA